AUUGAACGCUGGCGGCAUGCCUUACACAUGCAAGUCGAACGGCAGCACGGGUGCUUGCCCCUGGUGGCGAGUGGCGAACGGGUGAGUAAUACAUCGGAACAUGUCCUGUAGUGGGGGAUAGCCCGGCGAAAGCCGGAUUAAUACCGCAUACGAUCUACGGCUGAAAGCGGGGGACCUUCGGGCCUCGCGCUAUAGGGUUGGCCGAUGGCUGAUUAGCUAGUUGGUGGGGUAAAGGCCUACCAAGGCGACGAUCAGUAGCUGGUCUGAGAGGACGACCAGCCACACUGGGACUGAGACACGGCCCAGACUCCUACGGGAGGCAGCAGUGGGGAAUUUUGGACAAUGGGCGAAAGCCUGAUCCAGCAAUGCCGCGUGUGUGAAGAAGGCCUUCGGGUUGUAAAGCACUUUUGUCCGGAAAGAAAUCCUUGGCUCUAAUACAGUCGGGGGAUGACGGUACCGGAAGAAUAAGCACCGGCUAACUACGUG
rnacentral:rRNA from 1 species